rnacentral:lncRNA from 1 species
UUCUGACCCGAACAGUGCCUUUUUUCACGUUUUUUAAAAAAAGAUGUUUUUGUUUAUGCAUAAUAGGUAUUAUAACUUUUCAUACAUAUAUGUAUAUUUCUACUGUAUCAUCUAUUACCCCAACCCCACUCCUCCUAAUUCCCUUUCUCCCUUCCCAUUCCCAGCUAACUGUCCUUUCCUUUCAUGUCUGUGUGUAUAUGUGUGUGUGUGUGUGUGUCUUUGUGUGUAUGUCUGAGAGAGAGGCCCAGUGAAUUUCAUUAAGGAGCUUAGACACCUUUCUAGUAGCUAUACCACUGAAGACUGCGUCUCUAUCCCUUGCCUCUUUUUUUAAGAUUUAUGUAUUUAUUUUAUAUAUGUGAAUACACUGUCACUGUCUUUAGACAGAUGAGAAGAGGUCAUCAGAUCGCACUAUAGAUGGCUGUGAGCCACUAUGUGAUUGCUGGGAAUUGAACUCAGGAAUUCUCUGGAAGAGUAGUCCUCUUAACCACUGAGCCACCUCUUCAGCAUGUCUCUAUCCCAUAUUGACUGUUAGCUUUGUGUGAAUCUUCAGAGAGAGUAGUGCUCCGUGGACCCCUCUCUAUUACAAGACAGUGCUGAGGGGCCAGUCUUGUAGUGAACUUAGGCAGUCAGCUCAGGAGUGCGAUAGCCAUGCCACAUGUUGUUCCCUCACACUCACUGCUUUGCUCUGCCUCUCACAGCCUUUCUGCCUGCCCCUUCUGCUUUGUUUCCUGAGCUUUGGAGGAGUGGUAUAAAUAUCCCGUGUUAUGAGUCACUCUGACCACUGCAGAAAGAACCUUCUUGUAAUAAGUCUAACAGCAGCACUAAUCUAUGGGCACAGACAUAGUAAUUUAGAAGGCAAUCUGACAGGCAUAUCCUGGCUACUUAGCAAACAGUGGCAGUAGCUUCUUCCUAUGACCUAUGAUUUUUCUCGGCCAAAGAAUUUUGGAUGUGUUUCCAGUACCUGCCAUGAGUUCCUUCUAUGGAGCAGACAUGGAAUUCAGUCAGAAAGGAGUUGGUUACUCCAUAACAGACUUGCCACUCCUGCUGCAGUAGGCUCAUCUUGCCUGGUGAGUCAUUAUUGCAGAGUCCACACCUGAGUAACAGCCACUGCUGACAGUUCUCCACAGUAGCCUGUAUAACAACAUAGUACCUUUGGAGCCUUGGGGGCAAGCCACAGCAGGUAGGAAGCUUCUAGCCAGUUCUAGCUAGACCAUCUAGUUCUGGUGGGCAAACAAGAAUAGUGGUCAUUGCUGUAUUGUUUUGAAAGCCCCGGGAGAAGCCUCUGUGACCACUAGGAAAGUAGUCUACUCUUGGCACUGGGUUCUCCUUUAAUAAUGUAUGGCUUCUGGACAGUUCUUGCCUUGGAACUGGGGUUACAUUCAAGUGCGCAUUGCCCAAUGUGAGUGUAAGGAGUCAAAUUUGGGCCUUGCGGAGAAACAGCAAAGGCUUUUAACACUGAACCGUCUCCCAAUCAGUUCCUUUUUUCUUUGAACUGAGUUUAAAGGAAAAAAAAAAUUAUGCCAGGCUGGGUUUGGUGGCACACAUCUUUGGUCCCAGCAUUUGGGAGGCAGAUGCGGGAGGGUCUUUAUGAGUUCCAGGCCAGCCUUAUCUACAACUCAAGUUUCACAACAGCCAAGGCUACACAGAAAGACCCUGUUUC